CCUACGGGUGGCAGCAGUGAGGAAUAUUGGUCAAUGGGCGUAAGCCUGAACCAGCCAAGUCGCAUGAGGGAUGAAGGUUCUAUGGAUCGUAAACCUCUUUUAUAAGGGAAUAAAGUGUGGGACGUGUCCUAUUUUGUAUGUACCUUAUGAAUAAGGAUCGGCUAACUCCGUGCCAGCAGCCGCGGUAAUACGGAGGAUCCGAGCGUUAUCCGGAUUUAUUGGGUUUAAAGGGAGCGUAGACGGCUGUUUAAGUCAGUGGUGAAAGUCUGUGGCUCAACCAUAGAAUUGCCGUUGAUACUGGGGGGCUUGAGUAUGUUUGAGGCAGGCGGAAGUCGUGGUGUAGCGGUGAAAUGCUUAGAUAUCACGCAGAACCCCGAUUGCGAAGGAAGCCUGCCAAGCCAUGACUGACGCUGAUGCACGAAAGCGUGGGGAUCAAACAGGAUUAGAUACCCCAGUAGUC
rnacentral:rRNA from 1 species